CCCUUAUCUCUCGUCUAUCCUCUUUCCCCUAUCCCACAUAAAACCCUAGUAGCUGUUUUUUUUUUUUUUUCUCUCUCCCCUCUCUCUUCCUAAAAUGGCAUAGUUUAGAGUGCACAGAGCCAAAAUAAGCUUUUGCGGGUUCAUUUGCGUGAAACCCUCAAAGUUUCAACCUGAAAUCCUUUGUUUUGUUCUAAAUACGGUACUAAUCUUCAAUACUUUUACUUUUCUUUUAUUUCCUCGAAUCAAGCAUGCGAUUUUCUGGAUUUUUGGUGUUGUACGAACUGCAUUUUCAUUGGCUAAUGAGGAAAUGCCUUGGAUCGACCCAGAUCAGUCAGAUCCGGCCAUUUUGGGAUUUGGGAGCACACAGAUUUCAAAUUCGUUCUUGUCCGCGGCUGCACCUAAAAGGUAAUAUUUUAAUCUUGCUACUUAUUUUUGUUGUUUUCAAUAGCUUUGUUAUAUGAUAAUAUUUUGUUUGCUGUUAGUUUGUUUUGGGUUUGAUUAGUGGUGAUUUGCUGCCCUAGUAAUGCUAAAAAAUUCACCAGGAGCUUGAGAUAGAGAUCACAUUCUUGUCCUCAUUAAUGAUUUACUUAGCGUUAGUAGUGCUAGUUAGUAUGAACUAAAUGUGUGUCCCUACAUAAUUUUUAUUGGCGUUGCUUCAUUGGCAAAGAUGUAGAGACUGAGGUAUGCUUUAUUAGAUGCUAAGGUUCUUGCUUGGCUGCUCAUCCUUUAAACAUGAUGAAAUAUGGUUAUAUGAUUACUAAUAAUAACUUUGGUAACCUUGUAGAUUAGUAUUAAUCCUGUUUAAAUGUAUGAAACUGCUAAAGAACUGUGAUGACCCAUUUUGAGUAGUUUAAGGUGGUUGUUAGUUUGUUGAUGGGAUUGUGCUAUCCUAGUGUCUUCAAUCUGUUUUCUUUUCUUGAGUCCCUACACACUUGUUUAUGUCAUAUUUAGUGGUGUAAGUCAUGAUUGGGAUAAGUAAAGAAUCAUAGUUGGAAUAAAACGGGACUUAAUGAUACAAGACUUAAUGAAUUUAAGCAUACUUACAUGAGUCUUAAGAUGCGGUCAAGGUACUAGAAUGAGAGUGAAUGAGGUCUAAUUACAUUUGAGUAGGCCUCUGUCUACCUAAGUCUGUUUAAAUAUGGUUGAAUUGUCCUAAAAUAACUUUGAAUAGUUGUCUAUUAUACACUAAAGGUAGAUAUAAAUCAAUCAAUACCCCUGAACCUAAUAUAGAAAUUCUAAAAUGAAGAUUGAGACCAAGGUCUAUUUGUUUGGUACAACGUGCUCCCAAAUGGUUCAUUAGAGGCUAGUAUUGGCUCAUGAAGUUGUAAAAUCAUUAAAGAUGAAUUAGGACACCUAGAUACCACUAGGGUAAUUAUGUGACAUAGUUGUUAAUUUGAACAGAACCUAGUCUUGGUGUUUAUGUCAUCAGACCCUCCCCCUUCUAUAUAUGAUCCAUGCUUGAGUCUUCUAAGAGGUCUAGUGACAUUGAAAUGGUGAUUGAAUCCUGAUAUGCUCUCUGAUAGUUAAGAUGAUUAAUUAACCAGUGAAAUGGAACUACUUGAGUCUCAGGAUUGAUGUUUAUUUUAAGCUUAAGUUUAUAAUGUUAAGAAAUCAAGUUCACCAAAGAAGUAAUGUCAAAAAAGUGUUCAAGACAGCUUUUAUAAUUAAAAUCGUAGGUGGAGUUAAUUGAAACUGUUAAAUUAUGUCGUCAACUAAGUGCUUAGCUGGGAUGUGAUUUAAAGGCAGGGUUAAACUAAUCCUAAUUACAAAGUCUUAGUAGUUGUCACUAGGUAUGAGGAUGAGGUAAGGAUUUGAAAGUGCCUUAGGAGAGUAAGAGAUGAGCUUAGGUAUGAACUAGAAGCAAUGACCAGUGCAACCUUUGCUCCCAUUUUACUGAAAGCAAGAUUCAGGAAAAGGUUGGGGAGGUGAGGACCUCACCCUGUCCUGCUUCUCUUUUAGGAACUCGUGGUUCCUUUUUUCUCUUGAACUUCAUUCCCGUGGCUGUGGGAAUACAGAGGCUUUAUGUUUGGCAUGGAGAAGUUUAACCAUGCCUGGGAGGAUCUUUUGAGAUUUUAUGCUAUCAAAACUAAGUUAGAUUAAAGUAUAGGGGUCCAUCACAUUCUUUGUCAUGAUCAAAGGGAUUUAAAACUGCAUCAUUGACCAAAAUUCUAUGGGAAAUGACUUUAUCAGGACCUAGAUUUGUGCCUUAGAGUUCAAAUUUUCUUGCUUUGUGUUGUUUAAGAGUGAACAUGUUCCAUGAGAUCCUGUAUGACAUAUCCAUGCUUGAACUGUUUGAAUCUUUGGCCUGAAUUUUGGUGGGUUACUCCCAUGAAUGCAAUAUUACCACUUAACUGUCCCUAGUUGUUUGUAUCCUUGAGAACCUUAUUUGUACGAUUAGUCAUUAUUGCUUGGCUAUUCAGUUGGUGUAUACCUUUGUGAUUCAGUUGGAUGAGCAUUUGGGAUAUGUUUGCGUUGUUGAAGUGCUUAGAGCAGUCUGUGAUGGUUCGUUUUUAUAAAAGCUAAAAAUGACCCUUUUAAUUCAUCUCAUGUCCAAGUGUGAGCUUAACUAGGCCCUGAUAACAAUGAAUGGUCCUUAUUUAUACCUAAACAGUCUUGUCUGCUUGUGAGUAUUUAUAUUUGUUUUUGAGGAAACACCUAGUUGUGAAUAGCUGAAGUGAUAGGACCUAAUAUGGUUUCAGAGGACUUUAGGUGAGCUGAAGGUCACAUGGCUUAGAAAGGUCUUUUUAAAAGAUGUUUUGAGGAGAGGGAUAAGUGAGAAUCAAGGAAAUGCUUGGGUUCAUAACACCCCCUCACAAUAUAGAGAACACCAUGGCACUUUUAAAACUUUUGGGAUACAUGCUUACCAUAUGAAAACCUUGGGACCAUAUAAGUACUGUCAUUAGAUCUAAAGGGACCUAGAUUGUAAACAAACUAUCACUAAAGAAUAAUUGGUUAUGUUUAAAAUAGAGAAUCUGGGUGCAUGUGUGCUUAGCUUGGACACAGGUAGGAAAGAACUCACAAGAAGUAUAGAACUUAGAGCCAAAAAUCUUAAAAGGCAGAUUGUCACCACUUGACAACUUGACUGCCAAUGUUAAAAAGCAAUCCUGCAUCCUCCUCACACUCUUGGACCUGUUUGCAAUUUGUUUAUACCUGUGCCUUGGCUGUUGAAACUAUAGUUGCUCAUUUGUGUGCUACACUUUUUGUAUAGAUAUACUUGAACCAAAGAAAUCUGGACCUAUCUGUUUGGGCCCUGCCCAUGUCAUGAUCACUCUAAGUAAAAAUUAUCAUUUCUGCAUGGCCUCCUGUCCUGCAUAUGUUCACUUGAGUUAUGCCUAGGUGCAUGUUUGCCUGGUUGUGUAUGAAUCCUACAUGUGUCCCUUUUUAUUAUUGUUACCAUAAUGAAUAUUUCCCUGUGCCAUCCCAUAAGCAUUAGACCUGCAGUUUUUUGUUACCAAGGCCAUAUCUGUGUGCUCUUAUUUUGCUUCUAGUUAUACUUCCUCCAUAUGUUAUCGCUUGUUUCUGUCUAUCGCAUGCUUGUUUGUUUGUCUACUCCUGAUUAUGUUAUGACUGCAUACACUAAAACUGUUUUUGCCUAUACCAAACUCAUGUAUGAAUAUGGAAUUCUAUUUUACUUAUGGCUAUAUUGGCUGGGAAACUAAGGUAGCUUUUGGGGUUUGGUGUUAAACCAUCCCUUGGUCCCCUGCCAUGCCGGAGGCUCAUGAAACCUCUUGGAUCUUGUGCGGCAUCAGGAUUAAGGAUGGCGACGACUUUCCUCUCCUACUACCUAAAUCCCUAACUAUUAAAGCCCAGUAGUACAGAUGCAACUAUAUUCAUUGCGUGACCCUUUAAUGAAUUUGAUAUAUGUAUGCUUGUAUCUAUGUAUGUGAUAAGUUUAGAAAAUUUUAAACUAAUGGAGUCCCUUUUCUUUUCCUCUCCUUCACUGCAUGGCCACUUAGGCAGAGUCCAGCCACCCUAUUGGGCUUUUUAGCCCAAUAGAAAAAUUCUUUCAAAGAUUGUGGAGUUCAAGAAAAUAAAAUGGAAGCUAAUAUUGUUAAGGAUGCAGAGACGGCCCAGCCAUGGGUGAAAAUGGCCAACUAGGGGCUUGGUAUGCCCCUAGUCUCCCCUUCUCCUUACUUAUGCAUUUUUAUUAUAUGCAGUUGAUUGUAUCUUGUAUUUGUAAAGAUUGUAAAACUCAUGUAUAUUAUUGGAAUCAUUAUGGUCA